CAUCGGGGAUGUCGUGUCUUU
rnacentral:miRNA from 1 species